CCCUUACCCCAAACCGACACAGGUGGUUGGGUAGAGAAUACCAAGGCGCUUGAGAGAACUCGGGUGAAGGAACUAGGCAAAAUGGCACCGUAACUUCGGGAGAAGGUGCGCCGGUGAGGGUGAAGCAUUUACUGCGUAAGCCCAUGCCGGUCGAAGAUACCAGGCCGCUGCGACUGUUUAUUAAAAACACAGCACUCUGCAAACACGAAAGUGGACGUAUAGGGUGUGACGCCUCCCCGGUGCCGGAAGGUUAAUUGAUGGGGUUAGCUAACGCGAAGCUCUUGAUCGAAGCCCCGGUAAACGGCGGCCGUAACUAUAACGGUCCUAAGGUAGCGAAAUUCCUUGUCGGGUAAGUUCCGACCUGCACGAAUGGCGUAACGAUGGCGGCGCUGUCUCCACCCGAGACUCAGUGAAAUUGAAAUCGCUGUGAAGAUGCAGUGUAUCCGCGGCUAGACGGAAAGACCCCGUGAACCUUUACUAUAGCUUUGCACUGGACUUUGAAUUUGCUUGUGUAGGAUAGGUGGGAGGCUUUGAAGCGAGGACGCCAGUUCUUGUGGAGCCAAUCUUGAAAUACCACCCUGGCAACUUUGAGGUUCUAACUCUGGUCCGUUAUCCGGAUCGAGGACAGUGUAUGGUGGGUAGUUUGACUGGGGCGGUCUCCUCCUAAAGAGUAACGGAGGAGUACGAAGGUGCGCUCAGACCGGUCGGAAAUCGGUCGUAGAGUAUAAAGGCAAAAGCGCGCUUGACUGCGAGACAGACACGUCGAGCAGGUACGAAAGUAGGUCUUAGUGAUCCGGUGGUUCUGUAUGGAAGGGCCAUCGCUCAACGGAUAAAAGGUACUCCGGGGAUAACAGGCUGAUACCGCCCAAGAGUUCAUAUCGACGGCGGUGUUUGGCACCUCGAUGUCGGCUCAUCACAUCCUGGGGCUGAAGCCGGUCCCAAGGGUAUGGCUGUUCGCCAUUUAAAGUGGUACGCGAGCUGGGUUUAGAACGUCGUGAGACAGUUCGGUCCCUAUCUGCCGUGGACGUUUGAGAUUUGAGAGGGGCUGCUCCUAGUACGAGAGGACCGGAGUGGACGAACCUCUGGUGUUCCGGUUGUCACGCCAGUGGCAUCGCCGGGUAGCUAUGUUCGGAAUAGAUAACCGCUGAAAGCAUCUAAGCGGGAAACUAGCCUCAAGAUGAGAUCUCACUGGGACCUUGAGUCCCCUGAAGGGUCGUCGAAGACUACGACGUUGAUAGGUGGGGUGUGUAAGCGUUGUGAGGCGUUGAGCUAACCCAUACUAAUUGCCCGUGAGGCUUGACCG
rnacentral:rRNA from 1 species